rnacentral:rRNA from 1 species
UGGGGAAUAUUGCACAAUGGGGGAAACCCUGAUGCAGCGACGCCGCGUGAGCGAAGAAGUAUCUCGGUAUGUAAAGCUCUAUCAGCAGGGAAGAAAAUGACGGUACCUGACUAAGAAGCCCCGGCUAACUACGUGCCAGCAGCCGCGGUAAUACGUAGGUGGCAAGCGUUGUCCGGAUUUACUGGGUGUAAGGGCGUGUAGCCGGGCCUUUAAGUCAGAUGUGAAAUCCGCGGGCUUAACCCGCGAACUGCAUUUGAAACUGAGGGUCUUGAGUAUCGGGGGG